GACGAACGCUGGCGGCGUGCUUAACACAUGCAAGUCGAACGACGUGGCGAACGGGUGAGUAACGCGUAAUCAACCUGCCUUUCAGAGGGGUACAACCGUUGGAAACGACUGCUAAUACCGCAUACUGAAGGAGGGGAUUGUGUUUGAUUAGCUAGUUGGAGGGGUAACGGCCCACCAAGGCGAUGACCAGUAGCCGGUCUGAGAGGAUGGACGGCCACAAUGGGACUGAGACACGGCCCAGGCGCCUACGGGAGGGAGCAGUAAGGAAUCGUCCGCAAUGGGCGGAAGUCUGACGGAGCAACGCCGCGUGAGUGAUGACGGCCUUCGGGUUGUAAAGCUCUGUUAAUCGGGACGCGGUACCGGAAUAGAAAGCCACGGCUAACUACGUGCCAGCAGCCGCGGUAAUAC
rnacentral:rRNA from 1 species